GGGGCUGACAAAGCUUAGACGGUUUAUUAACAGAUAUCAAGCACGACGAUUGAUACCGUAAGUAUUGAAUAAAUGAAGAAAAAACUUCAAAGCAUGUGCUUUAUGCACCUGUUUAUGCCUAAUUAUAUAAACUUAUAGGCUGGUCUAGGAUCGAGUUUCCAUAGAUUCUUUAGAUUAUCAUAACUUAUGGAAAUGGACUUCAUCUUCUGACAGAGGUGAAUUCGAGAUUUUCGUCAUGGCGUCUUUUAGGUUUCGUUCUUUGCCGCCUAAUAGAUAAGCCAAGAAUAAAAACAGAGAACUAUGCGUGUAGAAUGAUAUCAUGGAGAUUCUCCGGACGGGGAGGCAGUAUCCCCCAGCUCCACCA
rnacentral:tmRNA from 1 species